UCGAGCGCUCGUGGAGAGAGGAUGGCGCUCGUUGUCUUUUGGUUCAUCGCCAGCGUCUUUAGUUUUGUUCAUUUAACACCGCUGAUUUCAGUCGAAGAGGAAUAUCGAUUCAAACAGUGGAUGUCACAGCACAACAAAGUUUACGACGCUGAGGAGUAUGACCACCGGCUCCAGAUAUUCGCACAGAAUAAGAGAAUAAUUGAUCAUCACAAUGCUGGGAAUCACUCCUUCACAAUGGGCCUGAAUCAGUUCUCAGACAUGACAUUUGAGGAAUUCAGGAAAUUCUUCCUUUUGACAGAGCCACAGAACUGCUCAGUUACUAAAGGGAGUCAUGUCACCAGAACUGGUCCUUACCCCGAGUUUGUAGACUGGAGGACGAAAGGCAACUUUGUGACUCCCGUCAAGAAUCAGGGUCGCUGUGGCAGCUGCUGGACCUUCUCCACCACUGGCUGUUUGGAGUCAGUGAAUGCUAUCGCUACUGGGAAGCUAAUAUCUCUGUCUGAGCAGCAGCUGAUAGACUGUGCCAAACACUUCAAUAAUUAUGGAUGCCUGGGUGGGCUCCCCAGCCAGGCAUUAGAGUACAUCAAAUACAACAAAGGUCUCAUGACAGAGGAGGACUAUCCCUACAAAGGCUAUGAUGGCACGUGCCAUUUUGAACCUAAACUUGCAGCUGUCUUUGUCCGGGAUGUUGUGAACAUAACAAGUUAUGAUGAAAAGGCCAUGGUUGAUGCUGUGGCCCGGCUCAAUCCUGUGAGCUUCAGCUUUGACGUCACGAGUGAAUUUAUGCACUACAAAGAAGGUGUUUACACCAGUGUUGUCUGUUUAGCACCCACUGUAAGAACACAGCAGACAGGGUGAAUCAUGCGGUCCUGGCUGUGGGUUACGGUGCUGAGGAGGAUGGCACACCAUAUUGGAUUGCAAAGAACUCUUGGGGCACAGCCUGGGGAAAGGAUGGAUAUUUUUUGAUUGAGCGAGGAAAAAACAUGUGUGGACUGGCUGCGUGCUCUUCCUACCCUCUACCUCCAGUCUGAAGAGCAACAUGGCAACAGAGUGGAGGACUGAUGAAACAUCCUCAGUGGAGUCCAUGUGAUUUCCUUAGUAAUUCUAACUAAAUGUAUGUUUAAUUUACUUAAAUUCAUUAUGUAAUUCAUAUAUUGUGGUUACUUAAUUUGUUAUUGUGCUUUAAAUUAAAUAGUUUUAUUCUACUG